rnacentral:rRNA from 1 species
AGUCCUGGGGCCUUCGGGCACCGGCAAAUUGCUCAGUAACACGUUGAUAAUCUGACCUUGAGUCUGGGAUAACCUCGGGAAACUGGGGCUAAAACCGGAUAUUAAACUCGUUCUGGAAAGAAUUGUUUCUUAAAGGCAACGCUCAAGGAUGAGUCAGCGGCCGAUUAGGCUGUUGGUGGGGUAAAGGCCCACCAAACCAACGAUCGGUAGGGGCCUUGAAAGAGGGAGCCCCGAGAAGGGAACUGAGAUACAGUCCCUAGCCCUACGGGGUGCAGCAGGCGCGAAACCUCUACAAUGCACGAAAGUGUGAUAGGGGGACCCUGAGUGCUCAGCUAUGCUGGGCUUUUGCCAAGAGUAAAAAUCUUGGAGAAUAAGUGGUGGGUAAGACAGGUGCCAGCCGCCGCGGUAACACCUGCGCCACAAGUGGCAAUCGUUGUUAUUGGGCCUAAAGCGUCCGUAGCAGGUCUCAUAAAUUUCCUGUGAAAUUGUUGUGCUCAACGCAACAACGUGCAAGAAAGACUGUGGGACUUGGGACCGGGAGGAGUCAGAGGUAUUUCGUGGGGAGCGGUAAAAUGCUAUAAUCCACGAAGGACCACCUAUGGCGAAGGCAUCUGACCAGAACGGAUCCGACUGUGAGGGACGAAAGGCAGGGGAGCGAACCGGAUUAGAUA